rfam:HIV-1 isolate MBC200 from Australia, complete genome.
UGACUAGCGGAGGCUAGAGGAGG